rnacentral:sRNA from 1 species
ACUGCACUGUGUUUCCACGCAGACAGAGUACAGUGGGAAAGGCUUUCUCCAGCUGAUGGAUGGCUGUUCUCUUUAUUUGGAGUAUCUUACUGGUUAUGUAAGCGACCUCGAGAGAAAUUAUCCUGACCCAGAUCGGAGGAUGCAGUAGUGCUUCAGCUGCAGGAUUUCUUAGUCGUUAACACCACAGUGCUGAUGACAAAGAGCGAGUUGUAAUCCUCAUCACUGCCAGGGCUGAGCCAGAGCAGACAGAAAAUCGUCAUUUGCUCGUCGGAGACUUGUUAAGUUACAGCUCCUGCUUCGUUCUGUGGUCUUGGCUUUUCUUCCUAUACAAUGACGCCGCUGCAAGUGAGCUCAGAAAUGCUUGGUUUGAGAGCCAUUUGCCUGUGAUUUUUGAAGACUAAAGAAGUAUUUACACUAGAUACUCUUCCAGAACAAAAUGGAAAUUUCAGCAAAUACUUACUGACCUUUAAAGCCUUGUUGUGGAUUUCUGAGAUUUAAAGAUACUUUAAAAUUCUCAAGAACAAAGUCCUUAUUCCUUAAAUGGAUACAGAGUGAGAGUAUAUAGACAAGACUCUGCCACCCAGUGGUUUACUGGCAUAAUUACUCAUCAUGAUCUCUUCACCCGCACCAUGAUCGUUAUGAAUGAUCAGGUACUAGAACCACAGAAUGUCGAUCCUUCUAUGGUUCAAAUGACCUUUCUAGAUGAUGUUGUUCACUCUUUGUUAAAAGGUGAAAAUAUUGGCAUUACAUCACGACGCAGGUCUCGUGCCAGUCAAAACGUCAACGCUGUUCACAGCCAUUAUACACGUGCCCAAGCAAAUAGUCCCAGACCAGCAAUGAACUCCCAAGCUGCUGUACCAAAACAGAAUACGCACCAGCAACAGCAACAAAGAAGUAUCCGUCCAAAUAAGAGGAAGGGCUCAGAUAGCAGUAUACCAGAUGAAGAGAAGAUGAAAGAGGAAAAAUAUGAUUAUAUAUCACGAGGAGAAAAUCCUAAAGGUAAAAACAAACACUUGAUGAAUAAAAGAAGGAAACCUGAGGAGGAUGAAAAGAAACUAAAUAUGAAAAGACUUCGAACUGACAAUGUUUCAGACUUUUCUGAGAGCAGUGACUCAGAAAAUUCAAAUAAGAGAAUAAUAGAUAAUUCCUCAGAACAGAAGCCAGAGAAUGAAUUGAAAAAUAAAAAUACUUCAAAAAUAAAUGGAGAAGAAGGAAAACCCCAUAAUAAUGAGAAGGCAAGAGAAGAGACCCUAAAAGAUAGCCAGCCUCCCUGGGAUCAAAUACAGGAAGAUAAAAAACAUGAAGAAGCAGAGAAGCGGAAGUCUGUUGACACUCAGCUUCAAGAAGAUAUGAUUAUCCAUUCGUCAGAACAAUCCACAGUUUCUGAUCAUAAUUCUAAUGAUUUACUUCCUCAGGAAUGCAAUAUGGAUAAAACACAUACCAUGGAAUUGCUACCAAAGGAGAAGUUUGUGUCCAGACCACCCACACCAAAAUGUGUUAUUGAUAUUACAAAUGACACUAAUUUAGAAAAGGUGGCUCAGGAAAACUCAAGUACCUUUGGCCUUCAGACACUUCAGAAAAUGGAUCCUAAUGUUAGUGAUUCAAAACACUCUAUUGCAAAUGCAAAAUUCUUGGAAACAGCAAAACAAGAUUCUGACCAGAGCUGGGUCAGUGAUGUAGUUAAAGUGGAUCUAACCCAAUCAAGUGUUACAAAUGCUUCUUCAGGAAAUGAUCACUUGAACAUGGAAAAAGAGAAGUAUGUCUCUUACAUUUCUCCUUUAAGUGCAGUUUCUGUCAUGGAAGAUAAGCUGCAUAAGCGAAGUCCACCUCCAGAGACUAUAAAAUCUAAACUUAAUACUUCAGUAGAUACUCACAAGAUAAAAUCCAGCCCAUCACCUGAAGUUGUGAAACCCAAAAUAACUCAUUCUCCUGAUUCUGUAAAGUCUAAGGCCACUUAUGUGAACAGCCAAGCUGCUGGUGAAAGAAGACUGGCAAAUAAGAUAGAACAUGAGCUAUCAAGAUGCAGUUUUCAUCCAAUUCCUACUCGAAGCAGUACAUUAGAAACUACAAAGAGUCCUCUUAUCAUUGAUAAAAAUGAGCAUUUUACAGUUUACAGAGAUCCUGCACUUAUUGGGUCAGAAACAGGAGCUAAUCAUAUUUCACCUUUCCUAAGCCAGCAUCCUUUUCCUCUUCACUCCUCAUCUCAUAGAACCUGUUUAAAUCCAGGUACCCAUCAUCCUGCCUUAACUCCUGCACCCCAUUUACUAGCCGGAUCAUCUAGUCAAACUCCAUUACCUACCAUUAACACUCAUCCUCUGACUAGUGGUCCACACCAUGCUGUUCAUCACCCUCAUUUACUUCCCACUGUGUUACCUGGAGUGCCUACUGCCUCCUUACUUGGUGGCCACCCACGACUAGAGAGUGCUCAUGCCAGCAGCUUGAGCCACUUAGCACUAGCACACCAGCAACAACAACAGUUGUUACAGCACCAGUCACCUCAUCUUCUUGGACAAGCCCAUCCUUCCGCUUCAUAUAAUCAGCUUGGACUUUAUCCAAUUAUUUGGCAGUAUCCAAAUGGAACACAUGCAUACUCAGGACUUGGUUUGCCUUCUUCUAAGUGGGUUCACCCAGAAAAUGCAGUUAAUGCUGAAGCUUCAUUAAGGAGGAAUUCUCCCAGUCCUUGGCUACAUCAGCCCACCCCUGUGACCUCAGCAGAUGGUAUUGGAUUACUUAGUCACAUUCCUGUCAGACCUUCCAGUGCAGAGCCUCAUCGGCCUCUUAAAAUUACAGCCCAUUCCAGUCCACCAUUGACAAAAACUUUAGUAGAUCAUCAUAAGGAAGAAUUAGAAAGGAAAGCUUUUAUGGAACCAUUACGGUCUGUUGCAUCCACAUCAGCCAAAAAUGACCUGGAUCUAAAUAGGUCACAGACUGGAAAAGAUUGUCACUUACAUAGGCAUUUUGUGGAUCCAGUAUUAAAUCAAUUACAGAGGCCACCCCAGGAGACUGGAGAGAGGUUAAACAAAUACAAAGAGGAACACCGUCGAAUUCUUCAAGAAAGUAUUGAUGUUGCUCCCUUUACAACUAAAAUCAAGGGACUUGAGGGUGAGAGAGAGAAUUAUUCCAGAGUGGCAUCAUCAUCUUCCAGUCCUAAAAGCCAUAUCAUCAAACAAGAUAUGGAUGUAGAACGCUCAGUAUCAGAUCUUUAUAAAAUGAAGCACUCAGUGCCUCAGAGUUUACCCCAAAGUAACUAUUUCACUACAUUGUCUAAUAGUGUGGUCAAUGAACCACCAAGAUCAUACCCAUCCAAAGAAGUUUCAAAUAUUUACGGUGAUAAACAGAGUAAUGCCCUUGCAGCGGCAGCAGCUAAUCCUCAAACUCUGACUUCAUUUAUAACAUCUCUUUCAAAGCCUCCACCUUUGAUUAAACACCAACCAGAAAGUGAAGGUUUAGUAGGCAAGAUACCAGAACAUCUUCCGCAUCAAAUUGCAUCUCACUCAGUAACAACCUUCAGAAAUGAUUGCAGGAGUCCUACCCAUUUGACAGUUUCUUCUACAAAUACACUCCGCAGUAUGCCUGCAUUACAUAGAGCACCAGUAUUUCACCCACCAAUCCAUCACAGCCUGGAAAGAAAGGAAGGCAGCUAUAGUAGCCUUUCCCCUCCAACUUUAACUCCAGUGAUGCCAGUAAAUGCUGGUGGUAAAGUUCAAGAAUCACAGAAGCCUCCAACUCUAAUACCUGAGCCAAAAGACUCUCAGGCAAAUUUUAAGAGUACUUCAGAACAGAGUUUGACAGAGAUGUGGAGACCUAAUAAUAACCUCAGCAAAGAGAAAACUGAAUGGCAUGUGGAGAAAAGCAGCGGAAAGUUACAGGCUGCUAUGGCAUCUGUCAUUGUGCGUCCAUCUUCUAGUACAAAAACUGAUAGUAUGCCAGCAAUGCAGUUAGCUUCUAAAGAUCAAGUUAGUGAAAGAUCUUCAGCUGGGGCACAUAAAACAGAUUGCCUCAAACUAGCAGAAGCCGGAGAAACUGGAAGAAUCAUUUUGCCAAAUGUGAAUUCAGACAGUGUUCACACAAAAUCUGAAAAAAACUUUCAGGCUGUCUCACAGGGCAGUGUUCCCAGUUCAGUCAUGUCUGCUGUAAAUACGAUGUGUAAUACCAAAACGGAUGUAAUCACAUCUGCUGCCGAUACUACCAGUGUUUCCAGCUGGGGUGGUUCAGAAGUAAUUUCCUCUUUAUCAAAUACCAUUUUGGCCUCUACAUCAUCAGAAUGUGUAUCUUCAAAAAGUGUCAGUCAGCCAGUGGCUCAAAAACAAGAAUGCAAGGUCAGCACCACAGCACCAGUUACAUUAGCCAGUAAUAAGACAGGAAGUGUUGUUCAACCCAGUUCUGGGUUCUCAGGCACAACUGAUUUUAUCCAUUUAAAAAAGCACAAGGCAGCAUUGGCCGCAGCUCAGUAUAAAAGUAGUAAUGUCAGUGAGACUGAACCUAAUGCUAUAAAAAAUCAGACACUUUCAGCCUCCCUUCCUCUGGAUAGCACUGUAAUCUGUAGUACAAUUAACAAAGCAAACUCUGUAGGAAAUGGGCAAGCUUCCCAGACAAGUCAACCAAACUACCAUACUAAACUGAAAAAGGCCUGGCUCACCAGACAUUCAGAAGAAGAUAAAAAUACUAAUAAAAUGGAAAAUUCAGGGAAUUCUGUAUCAGAAAUUAUUAAGCCAUGUUCUGUCAACUUAAUAGCCUCUACAUCUAGUGAUAUACAAAAUAGUGUAGAUAGUAAGAUCAUAGUUGAUAAAUAUGUAAAAGAUGAUAAAGUCAAUAGGAGAAAAGCCAAAAGAACUUAUGAAUCUGGCUCUGAAAGUGGAGACUCAGAUGAAAGUGAAAGCAAGUCAGAGCAAAGGACUAAAAGACAACCUAAGCCAACUUACAAAAAGAAGCAAAAUGAUUUGCAAAAGAGAAAAGGUGAAAUAGAAGAAGAUUUGAAACCCAAUGGAGUUCUCAGCAGGAGUGCCAAAGAAAAAAGUAAACUGAAGUUGCAAAGCAACAGUAAUAGUUGUCAUUUAGUAAAAACGGAGUAGUUAGAAUAGAUGGUUUCUCUUCUCCUGACCAAUAUGAUGAUGAAGCUAUGAGUUUGUGGACACAUGAAAAUUAUGAAGAUGAUGAACUAGAUAUAGAGACUUCUAAAUAUAUCUUGGAUAUAAUAGGUGAUAAGUUCUGUCAAUUAGUAACAUCUGAAAAAACAGCUUUGUCCUGGGUGAAAAAGGAUGCCAAAAUUGCCUGGAAAAGAGCAGUGAGAGGAGUCCGGGAGAUGUGUGAUGCAUGUGAAGCAACAUUGUUUAACAUUCACUGGGUCUGCCAAAAAUGUGGAUUUGUGGUCUGCUUAGAUUGUUACAAGGCAAAGGAAAGGAAGAGUUCUAGAGAUAAAGAACUAUAUGCUUGGAUGAAGUGUGUGAAGGGACAGCCUCAUGAUCACAAACAUUUAAUGCCAACCCAAAUUAUACCUGGUUCUGUUUUGACAGAUCUUCUAGAUGCCAUGCACACUCUUAGGGAAAAAUAUGGUAUUAAAUCCCAUUGUCAUUGUACUAACAAACAGAAUUUACAAGUUGGAAAUUUUCCUACAAUGAAUGGUGUAUCUCAAUCUCAGCAGCAAAAUACUCCUCAGAAGUCUGAGAAAAAUGGUGGCAGCAGCCCAGAGAGUGAUGUAGGCACAGAUAACAAGUUAACUCCUCCAGAAUCCCAGUCACCACUGCACUGGUUAGCAGAUCUUGCAGAGCAAAAAGCCAGAGAGGAAAAAAAAGAAAACAAAGAACUUACCCUUGAAAACCAAAUUAAAGAAGAAAGAGAACAAGACAACUCUGAAUCUCCAAAUGGCAGAACAUCACCUCUUGUGUCCCAGAAUAAUGAACAAGGCUCAACCUUACGGGAUUUGCUGACUACAACAGCUGGAAAGCUACGUGUGGGGUCUACAGAUGCUGGCAUUGCCUUUGCCCCAGUAUAUUCAAUGGGAGCCCCAAGUAGCAAAAGUGGACGGACUAUGCCUAACAUUCUUGAUGACAUAAUUGCUUCAGUUGUUGAAAACAAAAUUCCACCAAGUAAAACCUCCAAGAUAAAUGUAAAACCAGAGCUUAAAGAAGAGCCUGAAGAAAGCAUAACAUCUGCAGUGGAUGAAAAUAAUAAAUUAUACAGUGAUAUACCACAUUCUUGGAUCUGUGAGAAGCAUAUUUUAUGGCUUAAGGAUUAUAAGAAUAGCAAUAAUUGGAAGCUUUUCAAAGAAUGUUGGAAACAAGGACAGCCUGCAGUGGUUUCUGGUGUGCAUAAGAAAAUGAACAUUAGCCUGUGGAAGGCGGAAUCAAUUAGUCUUGAUUUUGGAGACCACCAAGCUGAUCUCCUGAACUGCAAAGAUAGCAUCAUUUCAAAUGCCAAUGUUAAGGAAUUCUGGGAUGGUUUUGAAGAAGUUUCAAAACGGCAGAAAAACAAAAGUGGAGAAACAGUUGUUUUAAAGUUGAAAGAUUGGCCUUCAGGAGAAGACUUCAAGACUAUGAUGCCAGCAAGAUACGAAGAUCUUUUAAAAAGUCUGCCAUUGCCAGAAUAUUGUAAUCCAGAAGGAAAAUUCAAUUUGGCCUCUCAUUUGCCAGGAUUUUUUGUACGUCCUGAUCUAGGACCCAGGUUGUGCAGUGCCUAUGGUGUAGUCGCUGCUAAAGAUCAUGAUAUAGGAACAACAAAUCUCCAUAUUGAAGUUUCUGAUGUUGUAAAUAUUCUAGUCUAUGUUGGCAUAGCAAAAGGAAAUGGCAUUCUCUCAAAAGCAGGAAUUCUCAAGAAAUUUGAGGAAGAAGAUUUGGAUGACAUUUUAAGGAAAAGAUUGAAGGACUCAAGUGAAAUACCUGGUGCUCUGUGGCAUAUUUAUGCUGGGAAAGAUGUUGACAAGAUAAGGGAAUUUCUUCAAAAGAUUUCAAAAGAACAAGGCCUUGAAGUUCUACCAGAACAUGAUCCAAUACGUGACCAAAGUUGGUAUGUGAACAAAAAGCUCCGUCAAAGGCUGCUUGAAGAAUAUGGAGUCAGAACCUGUACUCUUAUUCAGUUCCUUGGUGAUGCUAUUGUUUUGCCAGCAGGAGCACUUCAUCAGGUUCAGAAUUUUCACAGCUGUAUUCAGGUAACUGAAGAUUUUGUGUCUCCAGAACAUCUUGUAGAGUCAUUUCAUUUAACACAGGAACUGAGACUUUUGAAGGAAGAAAUCAAUUAUGAUGAUAAACUACAGUCAAAGAAAUGGUGAGAGCCUUGAAGAUACACGAGGAUGAAGUAGAGGAUAUGGAAGAAAAUUAAGUGUGAUCCAGUUUGAUAUUUUUAGGUUGUUGAACUGGGAUUACUUAACCUUGAAUGAUGAUAUGUAUGCACACUGACUUUAAGCUUCAUAAAACCAUCAGUGCCAAGAAAUUCUCUUUGUAGUAAUUACUUGUUACUGACACCACAGCAGUAUAGCAUAUGUCACAGCUCCUGUGAUUCAAUGUUAGUUAUAAAGCAAGCAGAAUUUUAAAAGCAGCACUAUAUAGCUGUUUUGUAUUAUAGUGUAUAUGAUGUUUGUGAAAAUGCCAGAUUUAAAAUGAUGUAUUUAUUUUUGGUAAAAAAUAAAAAAUUCUAUGCUAUAUUGUUGAUCAAGUGUAAAUGUGACCUUGUACAGUUUACUAAAAUUACUGAUAUUUUUCACUACAUUGAGACAGUUACUGUGAGAAUAGGACACAAACACCAGCUAUUGCCUGCAUCUGGGAAAUUGCUGAAUCGCACAGCAGUCAUGUCAUAAUCAGAAAAUUACUGCCAAAUAAUUGUAAAAUUUGUAAAGUAUAAAGUAUAUAAAGUAGAUACUAAAUACAGACACUUCAAUAUUUUGUUGAAGCUAUUGACUGUACAAUUAAACAUUUUCAAAAGGUGUAAUUUAUUUAAAAUUGUCUCAUUUUGGUAAAAUUUAUGUGAACUUUUAAAGCUAAAUAUUAAACUUAAUAUGCUAUGUAAAUAUAUACAUAUAUACA